GAUGAACGCUGGCGGCGUGCUUAACACAUGCAAGUCGAACGAAGCAUUUAGGACAGAUUACUUCGGUUUGAAGUUCUUUAUGACUGAGUGGCGGACGGGUUAGUAACGCGAGGGUAACCUGCCUUGUACUGGGUGAUAGCAGCUGGAAACGGCUGGUAAUACCGCAUAAGCGCACAAUGUUUCAUGACAUGGUGUGAAAAACUCCGGUGGUAUAAGAUAGAGCCGCGUCUGAUUAGCUAGUUGGUGAGGUAACAGCCCACCAAGGCGACGAUCAGUAGCCGACCUGAGAGGGUGACCGGCCACAGUGGGAAUGAGACACGGACCAGACUCCUACGGGAAGCAGUAGUGGGGAAUAUUGCACAAUGGAGGAAACUAUGAUGCAGCGACGCCGCGUGAGUGAAGAAGUAAUUCGUUAUGUAAAGCUCUAUCAGCAGGGAAGAUAGUGACGGUACCUGACUAAGAAGCCCCGGCUAAAUACGUG
rnacentral:rRNA from 1 species